rnacentral:misc_RNA from 1 species
AUUAGGUCUGUGCACCAAGAACAUCCUCUGAUCAUAUUUAAAGGGAUAUGUAAUUACGUUAACAUCCGCGUAGGUCGCGUGGACAGGCCGUCGCGAGGCAAUAUUGAGCUUCUUAUUUCUGAAACACUAACUGUUCCAGUUGGUCAGAGACAGCAUCGAAGUAGCAAGGGAUUGUGCGAGUGCAUUAGUAUUUCAUGAUGCACUAAAGCAUACAAACGUCUUGAAUAAUUUCCAGAGACACACAAAGAGAGGAGGAGAUUCUAAAAAUAGUUCCUGCUUUUUUUCUCACCCAAGCGCAAUGCCGGGAUGAAGUGAAGUUCAUAGCCUGGAACAGAUGUUGGCUGUUCGCCUUGCUGCAUGAAGCAAGGAUGUGAGACUGGAUAAACUAUACUAGCCCCAUGAUGGUCAGUUUGCUCCAUGACCAGUCGGCUUUACCAUUAAUACUGUCACUCCUGGUUGUGGGCCAGGCAUAUGAACACUUCGUAUGUAAAGACGAGUGCUACAACAUACAGUUUUCCGACGAAGACGUCGAUACGCCAGACGACGUCAACUCAACGUCAAAUGACGACAGAAGAAAAUCCAAUAUGGCGGAAUUCCUCUACACCGCGCCCUGCCCUCCUAUCUGGAACUUUACUCUGGCGUGCAACUAUUUCUCCAGAAAGACGAUUAGUUGUGAGGAGAGUACAUCUAUUCUAAAGCGAUGCCUUCAGCAUUAUGAUUCCUACAUUCCAUGUAACACAACACUUGACGUCAUAGAACGCUGUAUGGAGGAAAACGCCACCCAGUGUGAAAGUCUGUUUGACUUAUAUAACAACUACUGCUACAAUACGUGUAGAACUUACUGUGAUGAGACCAAGGAGAAACAUUUUAGUGAAAAUGAUACGGAAUCAGGGCUAAUAUUGAUACCAAGGGGAGGUAACUCUAAUCGUUCAAACAAGAAGGGAAAGAACUCCUCCGAUACUUUUGUUAAAUAUAAUGGAAUAUUUUUUAAUAUGUCUGACGCUAAUAACACCCAUAUCAAAAUCAUCAGUGUGAGAGGCGUACGAGUGCCGGACAGCUGGACGUGUGGCGUCUUGUGCAUCAUCCUCUUGAUUGGUGGGGCGUUUGUUUUAAUCGGAAUACUUGGACUCAUAGCUUUCUGCACAGUGAAAAGAUAUCGCCAAGAGGAAAACUCAUACAAAAUCCACAGCCAAGACAAAUGUGUCGGGCCUGACGAAUGUGGUGCAAUGUCAGACAGCGCGUUGUUGCCCACAAUGGGGUUGAAAGCGAAGCAGCAUCACAUUCAUGGAAGAUACAGACACCAAGCGGUGCGAGACACGUCGUUUACCCAAGUACAUUUUCCGAAUGGAUCUUCCAGACUGUUAGGAGAAAUAUUACCUGUGGAGGAGAUGGAGAAUACCCAGCUUUGAGGGUGGGGAUUCACUGGGUGUGUCUGGAUGCACCAGUUGAAGGGUGUAUCAUUGCGCAUGUGUGACUGAGGAGAUAAUGAUGGGGCAUAUUAUCAUAUAUUUUAUUCCAUAUGGCUUCAGAUGGUGGGCGGGGAAAAUGAUGAUAAAAAUAAUAUUACACCGUCAGUAAUGAUCAUGGCGUUGCACAAUGUCAGUAGUCACUACCCAAAUUUCGGCAUUUUGAGUAGUCAUAUCCAAAUGUCAAUUUUAUUGUAAAAAGAAAUCAUAGGGGUUAAAUAUGUAUAAUUCUUAAUUCAUUGAGGCCAGGUGGCGUAAACUAAUCACUGUAACGGAAAUUCACUAUUUUAUAGAACUAUGAAGAGCAACCAGCAGAAAACAACUCAAUAGAAAUCACAUUCGUUCUACCUCGAUUUCUUCCGACUGUGUACGAGACGGGCUCGUCUUUUAACCAAAGUGUGCUAAAGAACAGUGAUGUCUGAGUGAAUGAGAUGCUGACCCAGCCAAUGUGGCUCACGAUGUAUCACUAGACUCAAAGAAAGACUGGGAGGUCGAAAUGGACGUCAUGUAAAAGGAAGUGGACACAACGAAGCAUUUAUGAUCAAAACAGAAUGAUCCAUUCUUGGGUAUUGUUUAGUAAUAAUGUGUUUUUAUUUGUAACAUACCAUAUCAUAGCAUCAGUACCAUGUUUUUUUUACGAAAGCGGGUGUUUUAUUACUUGCUUGGAGGACCUUCCGUCCGAAAUGACCCAAAUGUGGAAGAAAGUUAUUAUUUUAAGAGUAAUCCUUCUUUCACAACAGUAUCUGUAAAAAGACAUUUCAAGGUAGAAUUCUAGGGAGAAAUGACUAUCGAAACUGCAACACUCCAAGUGUUUCCAAUAUAAGAUUUUUUUCCCAUAAAUUCACAUUAUUGUCGACCACAUAUAUAAGAGAUCAGUUUUUAAAAUAUAUUUGUGAGGCAUUCUUUUUUCAUUUCGCGAUCGACCGACCACCCUACGGUUUUGAAAACACAUUCAUAAGCUAAGAAAUAAGCAAAGCUAAUCAUUGCAAGCCUUAAACAAAAUAUCCGAUAUACGACUGCAAUUAAUAAAAUGGUACACCUUACACGAUGAAACACUCUCCCACGCUCGCACACACACAUGCACGGGCAGCACUAGCAUACGUAUGUAUCGUUCGGUAUUUCAAUGAAAACAAUAAUUAUUAAUCUCGUAUGACUUUGACUUUGCAACUGUCACUUCACACAUACUCCAUACCUCCUAUAUACAAAUAUCCUUGUCAAUGUCCAUGAAAUGAUAACGUCACAUAACUAUUACACGAAUACCUUCAGAGGUGUGUUUAUAUAUAGAGGGGUGUUUAAUAAUACAAAUUUCGGCAGUGACAGAAAGGAUGCAGAGAACUUAAGGAGAGCAGCGACAGUACCUUCAAAGGUGUGUUUAUAUAUACAGGGGUUUUUAAUAAUACAAAUUUCAGCAGUGACAGAACGGAUGCAGAGAACUUAAGGAGAGCAGCGACUGUACCUUCAAAGGUGUGUUUAUAUAUAGAGGGGUGUUUAAUAAUACUAAUUUCGGCAGUGACAGAACGAAUGCAGAGAACUUAAGGAGAGCAGCGACUGUACCUUCAAAGGUGUGUUUAUAUAUAGAGGGGUGUUUAAUAAUACUAAUUUCGGCAGUGACAGAACGAAUGCAGAGAACUUAAGGAGAGCAGCGACUGUACCUUCAAAGGUGUGUUUAUAUAUACAGGGGUGUUUAAUAAUACAAAUUUCGGCAGUGACAGAAAGGAUGCAGAGAACUUAAGGGGAGCAGAGACAGUUCCUCUGUGCAUACCAUAUCUGCAAAGAUAAUCAAAGUGCAACGAUGUCUGGCGCAAAACUGCAGUCGCAUCACUCAACACAAUCUCACUGUAAAAUACACUUGUUUCAGUAGUAAAUCUACACUGAUGUGUUUUCAAAGAACAUCACAUGUGACAAAACGACGAAAGAGAGAUUUUACCAGGAAAUACGACCCGCCAGCAACUGAUCCCACAACAGAUUUAUCUGUUGUGAGAACUCGAGUUUCCGAAGACAACCGAACCACUUUUUCUUGUCCACAUCCUGAAAUUGAUACCCAAAUAGAAACGAUAGCUCUCGAGUUAAUUUACUUUUAUUUGCUUUUGGAUUUUUUUUCUUAGACAUAAGAAAUCAAAUCAUUGUCAUCAUCAUUAUUAUUCACAUUAUUCUGAUAUUUACGUCCAUGAAACAUUAAACAUAAGACGCUAAACGACAUCAGUUGUGCUUAAAUGUAAAUCUUGUUUCACUAAUGAACAAAACCAUGCAUACUCUCAUUCAGCACUAUCAUUUAACAUCAUUGCGAAAUAUCACCCAUUCGGUUUAUAAACAUCAAAAGCUUAGGCUUAUAACUGGACUAGAGACUGGCGUUAAACAACAAACAAACAGACAAACAUUGCCGUUUGACAUCAUGUCACACAAGCCUAUUUGCCCCAUUGUUUGUAAGCGGAAACUAUAUCAGUACGCACUCAAAGGUCGACAUCAUCAAGCAUAUUAAGUUUUUCAAGAUUUUUGUAUUUUUGUACAAUAUCAUUACGUAUAAUGUUGUAUGUUAAUAAUAUAUAAAAAUUAAUUAUAUGAAAGUCGUUGCUACUUGCCCAAAGACUGUAUGUACGACUUGACCUUGGAAUACAACCUACUGGUAUUAAUAGGUGAUGAGUUCACUUUCUGAAAAUGUGUUCAGAUUUGCACGAAGCCCCGGCGGAAACGAGAGUUCAAUCUAAACAAUUUGCUUGGUUAUCAACCUCAAUCCAACUUCCAUCCAUUUCAAGUUGUCGCUACAAUGGCCACAAUUUACGAUUGUCGCUAACGAAGCAAUAGGGAACCUGUAUGAUUGGAAUAAUGAGGAAGUUACUCACAACCAAUUGGGACACGUCUCUUACAUGUCAGCUCUUUCAAACUAGAUAUUCUUGCGAGAUAUCAUGUCACGGUUUAUUGAACGAUUUGGGUGUUGAGUUCCCAAAUGGGGGCGUAUUAACUGUACGCCGCGGGACUGAUGUAGACUUUGUGCAGUUCGUUAUGUGGUUUAUGGACGAGUAUUUUGGUCGUGUGGCUAUCGCUAUUUCAGGAUUGAGAUUUGCAAAUGAGGAAGUGAGAAUAAAGACAUGACACCGAUCUGUAAAUUCUAUGUUUGGAAUUGAAUAUCACGUAAUGUGAAUGGAAACGUUGGAUUUGGCAGCGAUUUAUGGAGAUUUUAUUUAAAGAUUAAGAAACUGGGAAAUGAGGAAUGAGUUGGGUGUUGGGUGGGAAUGAGGAUGUGGUAGAGGAUCGAGGAGCGGGUUAAGGAUGGAGAAAUGGAAAUUAUUCAUUUGGAAUUGGAAUACAAACUCGGACUGGGGUUGGACUUUUAAUUUGAUAUUGAAAAUGGACCCGGAAAACCGAUAUUCCGCAUUUGCGAUAAAAAUAGCUUUUCAAUAAUUUAUUAUUCAGAGAUAACAUUGCUUUCAUAGUUUUGGUAAAGUAGAACCCAUAAUUGUGUUGUUGGUUAUUGAAUGUGUUUUAACACGUCUACAAGAUGAAUAAUUAUCAUCCUUAAUUUGGGCUUUAAAUGCUUAUUAUGCAUCACAUUAGUGUCACCUGUCUCUCACCGCUCAUUAUGUAUUUAUGUUUGUUUAUCUUUAUCUGUUAAGUAAAUGAAAUGACAUUUACUUGUCACCACUGGCAUGUGGAGAGGAGUGCCACAUUUUUGUAAUAAUUUGUUAUUGACAUGAAUGUCUAGUAUAAUAAAUAUAUUGAUAUUUUUACUAA